rnacentral:rRNA from 1 species
UACGGGGGGGGGUAAGCGUUGUUCGGAAUUACUGGGCGUAAAGGGCUCGUAGGCGGCCAACUAAGUCAGACGUGAAAUCCCUCAGCUUAACUGGGGAACUGCGUCUGAUACUGGAUGGCUUGGAUUCGGGAGAGGAAUGCGGAAUUCCAGGUGUAGCGGUGAAAUGCGUAGAUAUCUGGAGGAACACCGGUGGCGAAGGCGGCAUUCUGGACCGACAUUGACGCUGAGGCGCGAAAGCCAGGGGAGCAAACAGG